AUUCUGGCUCAGGAUGAACGCUGGCGGCGUGCUUAACACAUGCAAGUCGAACGGGAUCCAUCAGGCUUUGCUUGGUGGUGAGAGUGGCGAACGGGUGAGUAAUGCGUGACCGACCUGCCCCAUACACCGGAAUAGCUCCUGGAAACGGGUGGUAAUGCCGGAUGCUCCAGUUGAUCGCAUGGUCUUCUGGGAAAGCUUUCGCGGUAUGGGAUGGGGUCGCGUCCUAUCAGCUUGACGGCGGGGUAACGGCCCACCGUGGCUUCGACGGGUAGCCGGCCUGAGAGGGCGACCGGCCACAUUGGGACUGAGAUACGGCCCAGACUCCUACGGGAGGCAGCAGUGGGGAAUAUUGCACAAUGGGCGCAAGCCUGAUGCAGCGACGCCGCGUGAGGGAUGGAGGCCUUCGGGUUGUAAACCUCUUUUAUCGGGGAGCAAGCGUGAGUGAGUUUACCCGUUGAAUAAGCACCGGCUAACUACGUGCCAGCAGCCGCGGUAAUACGUAGGGUGCAAGCGUUAUCCGGAAUUAUUGGGCGUAAAGGGCUCGUAGGCGGUUCGUCGCGUCCGGUGUGAAAGUCCAUCGCUUAACGGUGGAUCCGCGCCGGGUACGGGCGGGCUUGAGUGCGGUAGGGGAGACUGGAAUUCCCGGUGUAACGGUGGAAUGUGUAGAUAUCGGGAAGAACACCAAUGGCGAAGGCAGGUCUCUGGGCCGUUACUGACGCUGAGGAGCGAAAGCGUGGGGAGCGAACAGGAUUAGAUACCCUGGUAGUCCACGCCGUAAACGGUGGAUGCUGGAUGUGGGGCCCGUUCCACGGGUUCCGUGUCGGAGCUAACGCGUUAAGCAUCCCGCCUGGGGAGUACGGCCGCAAGGCUAAAACUCAAAGAAAUUGACGGGGGCCCGCACAAGCGGCGGAGCAUGCGGAUUAAUUCGAUGCAACGCGAAGAACCUUACCAAGGCUUGACAUAUACUGGACCGCAUCAGAGAUGGUGUUUCCCUUCGGGGCUGGUAUACAGGUGGUGCAUGGUUGUCGUCAGCUCGUGUCGUGAGAUGUUGGGUUAAGUCCCGCAACGAGCGCAACCC
rnacentral:rRNA from 1 species